GGAGUCUGGGCCGUGUCUCAGUCCCAAUGUGGCCGUCCGCCCUCUCAGGCCGGCUACCGAUCGUCGCUUUGGUGGGCCGUUACCCCGCCAACUGGCUAAUCGGACGCGGGUCCAUCUCAUACCACCGGAGUUUUUCACACUGUACCAUGCGGUACUGUGCGCUUAUGCGGUAUUACCAGUCGUUUCCAACUGCUAUCCCCCUGUAUGAGGCAGGUUACCCACGCGUUACUCAUCCGUCCGCCACUAACCUUCCGGAAAAUCAUAGCAAGCUAAUCUUUUCCAUGGGUCCGUUCGACUUGCAUGUGUUAGGCACGCCGCCAGCGUUCAUC
rnacentral:rRNA from 1 species